AUUGAACGCUGGCGGCAGGCCUAACACAUGCAAGUCGAGCGGAGCGGCGGACGGGUGAGUAAUGCCUAGGAAUCUGCCUGGUCGUGGGGGAUAACGUCCGGAAACGGGCGCUAAUACCGCAUACUAUCAGAUGAGCCUAGGUCGGAUUCGCUGGUUGGUGGGGUAAAGGCCUACCAGGGCGACGAUCCAUAACGGGUCUGAGAGGAUGAUCAGUAACACUGGAACUGAGACACGGUCCAGACUCCUACGUGAGGCAGCAGUGGGGAAUAUUGGACAAUGGGCGAAAGCCUGAUCCAGCCAUGCCGCGUGUGUGAAGAAGGUCUUCGGAUUGUAAAGCACUUUAAGUUGGGAGGCGUUACCUUCAGAAUAAGCACCGGCUAACUUCGUGCCAGCAGCCGCGGUAAUUC
rnacentral:rRNA from 1 species